UCCGGUGUGGUGUAUCGGUUAUCAUUCCGCGUUUUCAAUUGUCCUGCAAUGAAAGUGCCGCGGCGAGGAGGGUUCGACUCCCUCCAUCGGAG